UGGGGAAUAUUGCACAAUGGGGGAAACCCUGAUGCAGCGACGCCGCGUGAAGGAAGAAGUAUCUCGGUAUGUAAACUUCUAUCAGCAGGGAAGAUAAUGACGGUACCUGACUAAGAAGCCCGGCUAACUACGUGCC
rnacentral:rRNA from 1 species